rnacentral:rRNA from 1 species
UACGUAGGCAGCAAGCGUUGUUCGGAGUUACUGGGCGUAAAGGGCGUGUAGGCGGUUGCUUAAGUUUGGUGUGAAAUCUCCCGGCUCAACUGGGAGGGUGCGCCGAAUACUGAGUGACUCGAGUGCGGGAGAGGAAAGUGGAAUUCCUGGUGUAGCGGUGAGAUGCGUAGAUAUCAGGAGGAACAUCGGUGGUGUAGACGGCUUUCUGGACCGUAACUGACGCUGAGACGCGAAAGCGUGGGGAGCAAACAGG